rnacentral:rRNA from 1 species
UACGGAGGGUGCGAGCGUUGUCCGGAAUCAUUGGGCGUAAAGGGCGCGUAGGUGGCCUGUGCAAGCGUGCGGUGAAAGCUCGGGGCUCAACCCCGAGUCGGCCGUGCGAACUGCUGGGCUCGAGCACUGUAGAGGCAGGCGGAAUUCCGGGUGUAGCGGUGGAAUGCGUAGAGAGCCGGAAGAACACCGGUGGCGAAGGCGGCCUGCUGGGCAGUGGCUGACACUGAGGCGCGACAGCGUGGGGAGCAAACAGG